rnacentral:lncRNA from 1 species
GGAAACGACGACGUCGAGGGCAUCGACGCCGCGCUCGACGCGGCGAGCAACAAGGACGAAGCUUUGAACAAGGGCGAUAUUAUGGGCAGGACCGCUCUCCACUGGGCGGCGGGACGGGGCCGGGUCGAUGCGGUGCGCCACCUCCUCGCUCUCGGGGCCAGGGUCAAGAUCUCCGGCAUGCACCACACCCCGCUCCACGACCUCGCGGAGAGCGGCGCGGCUGCCGCGCCGACGCUCGUGCAGGAACUCGUGGAGGCCGCGCCCUGGCAGCUCACGUACAAGGACAACACCGGCGCCAUGCCUGUGGACAGGGCGAAAAGCGCGGGGCAGCGCCAGAUGGUUCGCGCGCUCGAGUCCGCCGCCAUGAUGGUCACCGGCGCGGAGCGCGCGAUGAUGAGUCGCCACACGCACUCGUUCCUGCCUUCGUGCCUGUCCGUCGCGACGAUCAGCCUCGACUCGCCCGGUAGCAGCGUCACCAGGCCGCUGCUGGAGGGGGCGUGACGGCUGCCAGCGGGGUCGAGGAGAGACUGCGCAAAUGGCGCACGAUUGGAAGAAAUUUCCAAACCCAUAUUACGAAGGGGCUUAACUAAAUGCAUGUACAUCUUUCGCGUCGAGUGUGGUAAUUCAAGUCUCAAAAAAUAACGGUUUUUCCUCCCACGUCCUCCUGCGGUUCGGACCCUUCGAACCAGCCGCGAGAGACGGGAGGAAGAUCUCUGACGACCGCGUCUUUUGUUCCAUUUGGAGUCGCAGGCGGGCUCGACACGCGCGCGCCAUGAGUUACGCUCGCCCUAAACGGGGUAAACCCGAGCGCUGGGUGCGCGAGGCUGCCGGCAACGACGACGUCGAGGGCAUCGACGCCGCGCUCGACGCCGCGAAAGACAGGGAACGGCUUCUGAACAAGGGGGACUUCGUCGGCAGGACCGCUCUCCACUGGGCAGCGGGACGGGGCCGGGCCGACGCGGUGCGCCACCUCCUCGCGCUCGGGGCCAGGGUCAAGCUCUCCGGCAACCAGGCGAGCCCGCUCCACGACCUGGCGGCGAGCGGCUCGCCCAACGCGCCGGCGCUCGUGCAGGAUCUCCUCGCUGCCGCGCCCUGGCAGCUCACGCACCG